GCCACAGAAAGCUGUCUGCACCAUGGCCUGGACCCCUUUCCUGAUCGUACUUCUCUCCCACUGCACAGGUUGCCUGUCCCAGCCUGUGCUGACUCAGCCGCCCUCUCUCUCUGCAUCCCCGGGAGCCACAGCCAGACUCACCUGCACCCUCAGCAGUGGCUUCAAUGUCGGUAGAUACAGGAUAUACUGGUACCAGCAGAACCCAGGGAACUCUCCUCAGUAUCUGCUGAACUAUCACACAGACUCAGACAAGCACCAGGGCUCAGGGGUCCCCAGCCGCUUCUCUGGAUCCAAAGACACCUCGGCCAAUGCAGGGCUCCUGCUCAUCUCUGGGCUGCAGCCUGAGGACGAGGCCGACUAUUACUGUGCUACAUCACACAGUAAUGAUCCUCACAGUGACUCACACAGAUGGGGAAGUGGGACAAAAACCUUGGUCAAUCCAGGGUGACUGUGGGUGAAGGUGGGUGGAGGUAAAAGAGGGUA